rnacentral:rRNA from 1 species
UAAGGAAUAUUGGUCAAUGGACGCAAGUCUGAACCAGCCAUGCCGCGUGGAGGAUGAAGGUCCUCUGGAUUGUAAACUUCUUUUAUCUGGGAAGAAAUCCACGAAUUCUUUUGUGGUUGACGGUACCAGAUGAAUAAGCACCGGCUAACUCCGUGCCAGCAGCCGCGGUAAUACAGAGGGGGCAAGCGUUGUUCGGAAUUACUGGGCGUAAAGGGCGCGUAGACGGCCUGCUAAGUCGAACGUGAAAUCCCCGAGCUCAACUCGGGAACUGCGUCCGAUACUGGCAGGCUCGAAUCCGGGAGAGGGAUGCGGAAUUCCAGGUGUAGCGGUGAAAUGCGUAGAUAUCUGGAGGAACACCGGUGGCGAAGGCGGCGUCCUGGACCGGCAUUGACGCUGAGGCGCGAAAGCCAGGGGAGCAAACGGGAUUAGAUACCCCGGUAGUCCUGGCCCUAAACGAUGAAUGCUUGGUGUGGCGGGUAUCGAUCCCUGCCGUGCCGAAGCUAACGCAUUAAGCAUUCCGCCUGGGGAGUACGGUCGCAAGGCUGC